UAUAAUAUAAAGGAGUUGAGUUCGUCGCUACAGAAUUCAUCUUUUUACGAAAUGAAUACCAAUUUUCAUUGAACCUAAAAAGCGGUUUAACACGCCGAGCCGAGCGAUCCGGCCCAUUGCCCCGGAGCGAAGCGGAGGGAAUGCGAGCCGGGAGCCGGAGCGGUGACGGUAACUUAGAAGUUAAUUUUUUUUCUCUCGCAUCGUCUAAUAAUUAGUCUGUGUGAACGAUUUCGACGACAUUUUGGACGGUUUAGAAAUUGUUUAUACGGUUUCCAAAUUUGGAAAGUAUUAUUUAUGAGACUUUUCCUUUUACUAAAGGUCUGUAAGUUACUGACUUAUGGAAUCCACUAGAGAUUGUUCCUUUUAUGAAAUGUCUGUAAGCAAUUGACUUAAGGACUACACUAAAUAUUGUUACUUUUACGAAACUUGAAACUUGUUUUUUCUUUUAUCGUUGUUACGAAAUUAUUUUGAAUAUUUUCUAAGGAUGCCAAUAAAUUCGCUUUCUUUCCAUAAAUGUCCAAUAGAGUAAUAAAUGUUCAACAGAAAAUCCGUAUUCUUCCAAUUAAAAUGCUAGAAAUAGGCCAUUAGAUGGAAAAGGAUGUGAACAACUCAUUCUGUUAAACAUUCCCAGGCGCAAAAAUGAGAUGGAGUUCGGACAGAACCAAACGAUUCAGCUGACAAAAAGCAAUAGCUUUGCUGAUCGAGGUAUUAAUUUUGCUGUUCGAAGGCAGUAAAAUUGCAUAUCACAAAACAAUAAAUUUGCUGCUAAGGAUUUGCUGCAAAAGUAUUAUUUUUGCUGCUUAAAGUCAGUAAUAUUGCUGCUCAGAAAGCAAUAAAUAUGCUGUUUGAGUACUAAUAAAUUUGCCGAAAAUAAAAUUAAUUUUGCUGAAACAAAACACUAAAUUUGCUUACAAAAAACAUUUAAUCUGCUGAUAAAAAAAAUAAUUUUGUUGA